GUGUCAGCCGCCGCGGUAAUACGAAGGGGGCUAGCGUUGCUCGGAAUUACUGGGCGUAAAGGGCGCGUAGGCGGACAGUUAAGUUGGGGGUGAAAGCCCGGGGCUCAACCUCGGAAUUGCCUUCAAUACUGGCUGUCUUGAGUGUGAGAGAGGUGUGUGGAACUCCGAGUGUAGAGGUGAAAUUCGUAGAUAUUCGGAAGAACACCAGUGGCGAAGGCGACACACUGGCUCACUACUGACGCUGAGGCGCGAAAGCGUGGGGAGCAAACAGGAUUAGAUACCCUGGUAGUCCACGCCGUAAACGAUGAGUGCUAGUUGUCGGGCGGCAUGCCGUUCGGUGACGCAGCUAACGCAUUAAGCACUCCGCCUGGGGAGUACGGUCGCAAGAUUAAA
rnacentral:rRNA from 1 species